AUUGAACGCUAGCGGCAGGCCUAAUACAUGCAAGUCGAACGGGAUUAAGGAGCUUGCUCUCUGAUUUAGCGGCGGACGGGUGAGUAAUGCCUAGGAAUCUGCCUGGUAGUGGGGGAUAACGUUCCGAAAGGAACGCUAAUACCGCAUACGUCCUACGGGAGAAAGCAGGGGACCUUCGGGCCUUGCGCUAUCAGAUGAGCCUAGGACGGAUUAGCUAGUUGGUGAGGUAAUGGCUCACCAAGGCGACGAUCCGUAACUGGUCUGAGAGGAUGAUCAGUCACACUGGAACUGAGACACGGUCCAGACUCCUACGGGAGGCAGCAGUGGGGAAUAUUGGACAAUGGGCGAAAGCCUGAUCCAGCCAUACCGCGUGUGUGAAGAAGGUCUUCGGAUUGUAAAGCACCUUAAGUUGGGAGGAAGGGCAUUAACCUAAUACGUUAGUGUUUUGACGUUACCAACAGAAUAAGCACCGGCUAACUUCGUGCCAGCCGCCGCGGUAAAAC
rnacentral:rRNA from 1 species